rnacentral:tRNA from 1 species
GCCCUAGUAGCUUAGCCCAAAAGCGUCGGUUUUGUAAACCGAAGAUCGGAGGUUAGAUUCCCCCCUAGAGCC